UUUGGAGACGGGUAUUGGAAU
rnacentral:sRNA from 1 species